AUUGAACGCUGGCGGCAGGCCUAACACAUGCAAGUCGAACGAGUGGCGGACGGGUGAGUAAUGUAUGGGAAACUGCCUGAUGGAGGGGGAUAACUAAUGGAAACGGUAGCUAAUACCGCAUACCAUCGGAUGUGCCCAGAUGGGAUUAGCUAGUAGGAGGGGUAAAGGCCUACCUAGGCGAAGAUCCCUAGUUGGUCUGAGAGGAUGACCAGCCACACUGGAACUUGGACACGGUCCAGACUCCUACGGGAGGCAGCAGUGGGGAAUAUUGCACAAUGGGCGCAAGCCUGAUGCAGCCAUGCCGCGUGUAUGAAGAAGGCCUUCGGGUUGUAAAGUACUUUCAGCGGGGAGGCGUUACCCGCAGAAUAAGCACCGGCUAACUCCGUGCCAGCAGCCGCGGUAAUUC
rnacentral:rRNA from 1 species